AUUGAACGCUGGCGGAAUGCUUUACACAUGCAAGUCGAACGGCAGCACGGACUUCGGUCUGGUGGCGAGUGGCGAACGGGUGAGUAAUGUAUCGGAACGUGCCCAGUCGUGGGGGAUAACGUAGUGAAAAUUACGCUAAUACCGCAUACGAUCUAUGGAUGAAAGCGGGGGAUCGCAAGACCUCGCGCGAUUGGAGCGGCCGAUAUCAGAUUAGGUAGUUGGUGGGGUAAAGGCCCACCAAGCCAACGAUCUGUAGCUGGUCUGAGAGGACGACCAGCCACACUGGAACUGAGGCACGGUCAAGACUCCUACGGGAGGCAGGAGUGGUGAAUUUUGGACAAUGGGCGAAAGCCUGAUCCAGCCAUUCCGCGUGCAGGAUGAAGGCCCUCGGGUUGUAAACUGCUUUUGUACAGAACGAAAAGGUUUCUACUAAUACUAGGAGCUCAUGACGGUACUGUAAGAAUAAGCACCGGCUAACUACGUGCCAGCCGCCGCGGUAA
rnacentral:rRNA from 1 species